GGCUGUUGAUGUUUUUCAUUCAAAGCUCGCAAUGCACCGUUCUGAAAACUCUCCAGCGUAGAAUUCAGGAACCCUGAGUUUUCUAUCUCUGUCUAGUUCUGGACUGAAUGGGCUCAAGUCAUCUAGUUAACCUCUCUGGAUUUCAGUCUUCUGAAAAGUGAAGCUAAGAGAUCUAGCAUUCUGCAGAAAAGUACUGGAGAUGACUCAGGACUGAAAAUGAUCAUGAAGCCCCUUUGCAAAUAUCAAAGUGGUGAUGAAGCAGUCAUGAACUUUGACCAGAAGCCGUGUUUUGUGGGAUUGCCACUUUAAUCGCUCCUGUUCAUCAUUAGGACUGCAGCCAGAGUGUGGAAGGAGUUGGAUGACUUAAACACCACCCCUGAGAGGCAGCUGUUUCCAGAAUAUUGCACAAUUUAUUGAGUUCAUGAGAAUCGUGAUCGUUGGCAGCACCGAACUUCACGGAGGGAAUCAUAGGCACUUUAAUUCCAAUUUGUUGACUUAUGGAGGAAGAAAUUUCUCCCAGUGGUGUCCCUUCAUCCAGGAACAAGAGCCAUCAAAGUGUCACAGACUUAGAGCCGGAAGGGCUCUCCGCUAGUGUUUCUGCCAGUCCUCUUGGUUUUACACAUGAGGAAACUGAGGCCCAGAGAAGUUACCCAGUAGCAGAUCUGCAAGUCACCCAGUAGCAGAUCUGCAAGGAGCUCUUAGCAAUCCUGACUCCAAGUGUAAUGCUCUUGCAUUAGCUCUGUGCUGCCUCCUAGAUGUUGGUCUUCUUAAUGUUGAUAGCACAUUUGCUCAAAUGUUUGCUAAUAUGGUUUGGCUGUGUCCUCACCCAAAUCUCAUCUUGAAUUGUAGUUCCCAUAAUCCCCACUUGUCGUGGCA
rnacentral:lncRNA from 1 species